GACGAACGCUGGCGGCGUGCUUAACACAUGCAAGUCGAACGGAAAGGCCCUGCUUUUGUGGGGUGCUCGAGUGGCGAACGGGUGAGUAACACGUGAGUAACCUGCCCUUGACUUUGGGAUAACUUCAGGAAACUGGGGCUAAUACCGGAUAGGAGCUCCUGCUGCAUGGUGGGGGUUGGAAAGUUUCGGCGGUUGGGGAUGGACUCGCGGCUUAUCAGCUUGUUGGUGGGGUAGUGGCUUACCAAGGCUUUGACGGGUAGCCGGCCUGAGAGGGUGACCGGCCACAUUAGGACUGAGAUACGGCCCGGACUCCUACGGGAGGCAGCAGUGGGGAAUAGUGCACAAUGGGCGGAAGCCUGAUGCAGCAACGCCGCGUGCGGGGUGACGGCCUUGGGGUUGUGAACCGCUGUCGCCUGUGACGAGGCGAGAGUGACGGUAAUGGGUAAAGAAGCACCGGCUAACUACGUG
rnacentral:rRNA from 1 species